rnacentral:rRNA from 1 species
AUUGAACGCUGGCGGCAGGCCUAACACAUGCAAGUCGAGCGAGCGGCGGACGGGUGAGUAAUGUCUGGGAAACUGCCUGAUGGAGGGGGAUAACUACGGGAAAAGGUAGCUAAUACCGCAUACCAUCAGAUGUGCCCAGGUGGGAUUAGCUGGUGGCGGGGGUAAUGGCUCACCUAGGCGACGAUCCCUAGCUGGUCUGAGCGGAUGAUCAGCAACACUGGGACUGAGACACGGCCCAGACUCCUACGGGAGGCAGCAGUGGGGAAUAUUGCACAAUGGGCGAAAGCCUGAUGCAGCCAUGCCGCGUGUGUGAAGAAGGCCUUCGGGUUGUAAAGCACUUUCAGCGGGGAGGCGUUACCCGCAGAAGAAGCACCGGCUAACUCCGUGCCAGCCGCCGCGGUAAUAC